rnacentral:misc_RNA from 1 species
UUCUGCAAAUAAAUCUUCAAGGGCUCCACGUACUCCUCAAACCCUAGCGUGGUCAUGGCCCAAAGCAGAUCGUCGCCGUUGAUCGUCUUCCUCUUUUCGCGCUGGCACUUGUCGGAAGCCUCUCCGGUAAUAAAGCUGAUGAAUUCAGACACGCACUCCUGCACCGUCUCUUUGGCAUCUUUGGAGAUCUUAGCGUUCGCCGGCAGAGCUUUCUUCAUUAUUCUGCUAACGUUAGCGAUGGGCAAGAACCUGUCCUGUUCACGGGCAGAUAGCUCACUGUUGGCGUUGUUGUUGUGCCCUCCUGAUUCAUUGUCUGAAUCCGCCAUUAAAAUCAAAAUUCAAGAAAAAAAAAAA